rnacentral:rRNA from 1 species
GCAGCAGUGCGGUAUCUUGCGCAAUGGGCGGAAGCCUGACGCAGCAACGCCUCGUGCGGGAAGAAGGCCUUCGGGUUGUAAACCGCUUUCAGCAGGGACGAAGGCGAGCGGGUUAAUAGCCCGUCAGUUGACUGUACCUGCAGAAGAAGGUCCGGCUAACUACGUGCCAGCAGCCGCGGUAAUACGUAGGGACCGAGCGUUGUCCGGAAUCAUUGGGCGUAAAGAGCGUGAGGCGGCCCUUAAGUCCUGCGUGAAAUCCUGCGGCUCAACCGCAGACGGUCGUGGGAAACUGGAGGGCUAGAGUGCGGGAGAGGAGAGUGGAAUUCCCGGUGUAGCGGUGAAAUGCGCAGAUAUCGGGAAGAACACCCGUGGCGAAGGCGGCUCUCUGGAACGCAACUGACGCUGAGACGCGAAAGCGUGGGGAGCAAACAGGAUUAGAUACCCUGGUAGAUCCUACGGGAGGCAGCAGGAUUAGAUACC